rnacentral:misc_RNA from 1 species
GAUGAAGAACGUAGCGAAAUGCGAUACGUAAUGUGAAUUGCAAAUUCAGUGAAUCAUCGAGUCUUUGAACGCACAUUGCGCCCCCUGGUAUUCCGGGGGGCAUGCCUGUCCGAGCGUCAUUGCUGCCCUCAAGCACGGCUUGGGUGUUGGGCCCCGUCCUCCGAUCCCGGGGGACGGGCCCGAAAGGCAGCGGCGGCACCGCGUCCGGUCCUCGAGCGUAUGGGGCUUUGUCACCCGCUCUGUAGGCCCGGCCGGCGCUUGCCGAUCAACCCAAAUUUUUAUCCAGGUUGACCUCGGAUCAGGUAGGGAUACCCGCUGAACUUAAGCAUAUCAAUAAGCGGAGGA